CCCGGCCUGCGGCGGCGGCGGCGGCGACUGCAGCGGCCGAGGCAGGGACGCAUCAUGCGGCCGCACUCAUGGCCGGGCCGGAGGGGGCCCCGCGGCUCGGCUCGGUCCUGCCGGGCCGGUCGGAGGGAGGCGGCCUCCGAGCGGACUCGAGAGACAGAGCCCAACCUGGAGAGCUUGGCGGCACGACCCCCGGAAGUGAACCUCGCGUGGUCAGCGGCGCCGCGUUUGCGCAGUUCCGGUCGCGCCGCUCCCGGCAGCGGAGCAGGGUGUUUGAGGUGGUUUGCUGGGACUCAGCGGCCGGGAUCCCUUUGGGACAGAGGACCUUAAAGACUGACAUUUCCCGGAGAAAGGCGACUCUUAGUCGCAAGGUCCCCUCGCUAAAAUAAAGGGACCCAUUCAAACUGAGGUCCGGAAGAGAAAGGAUGAGGGCUACGUGCUACCGCAAGGUCCAAGCCGCGCGGCUAGGCUUUUUGACUCGGGGAGGAGUUCUUGCCCGGGUUUACUGAGCCCGCGGUGGCCCUUCUGAGCCAGCGUUAGGUGUGACCUGUACGGCGUGCGAGGACGGAACGCGGGUUAAUGGAGAAGCGCGAGUGGGAACGACGGAGCCAGAAAGCACGUGGGGAGUAGGGGAAGCGCCAUUGGAUGCGCGAUUCCUGAUUCGCUGAGCCUCUGGUUCCCCUCUGAGCGACCUGGAAACCAUGGCAUCCCAGCGAUUCCUUCCAGAUGCUAAGUCCUAAGGUUUUUGAAGGGGCUGCUGAGUUGAGAGAACAUAAGCCUGUUGCUGCUGAAGACCACUCUAUAAAAAGAACCUGAUCUGAGAAUGAAGCCCAGCUCAGAGGGAAGCAGUCAAGAAGGGGAGAGAGACCAAGUUCUGAUGACAUCACUUGGCCCCUGGAUCCUGCUGGGCCAACCCCAGAACUUUUCAGUUUUUGAAAAACCAGUUUGCCGGGAUUUCUGUCACUUAUUACUGAAAGAAUUUUGGUAAAUAUACCUUCCAGGUGCAAAUACACUACUUCUAUCAUAUUUCCUUGAAUUACGAGUCUAUAGAUUUCAUAGCUUGAAAUCUCAUGCUUAAGCCAGCAUGACUUGGUCUUUGACGUCAGUGCUUCCUCUUCUGAGGGGUCACAGAUGUUUUUCAUGAGUUAUCUGGCCUGAAUGCUUCCCAGGCCCAAUGUCAAGUUCACUGGUCUGUGGUUUGUAGAACUCACUACCCCCCCCCCUUUUUUUUUAAAUAAAAUGGCCAUAUCAUCUGCCUCUCUCCAACUUGCUGGCAAGUACAGAAUAUCUUUUAUGUGGUAUGGAGAGAUAAGGUCCAUAUGAAUCUCUUGAGGAGAAAUGACAUUUCCCCCAAAUGGAAUCCGACCCUGAAUAAACUCACAUUUUCCAA